CUGAGCGCGGACGAUUCUUAGGUGAAAUUAUUGUUGCUACCUAUAUAUAUUUGUCUUCUUAUCGUGAAAACACAGUAGUUUACCACCAUGAAACCCCGCACGCCGAUGAUAGCGCUGUGCAUCUGUGUGAUAGCGGCAAGCGCGUACUCCGCAGCACUCCAAGCUCAGAAAGAACACAUAAUGAUUGCGAGUGGUCGUCCGAGAGAACGCAGGAAAGUCGGUUCUACACCUCGCCCGUUGGAGCCUAUCGAACUAACGGAGAUGCGCGUGCGCUCCGAAGUGGCGCUGCGCUACGCGCGCACAUCUGUGAUCACUCACGUGCACAACCCCGACACGCGGCCGCAGGAGGCCUCGUUCCACAUGCUGCUGCCGGACACCGCCUUCAUCAGUGGAUUUACAAUGCUAUUGGCUGGACAAUCCUACAAUGCGUAUGUAAAAGAAAAAGAAGAAGCCAAAUUACUAUACACUCAGGCAGUAUCCCAAGGCAUUGGUGCAGCGCACGUUGCUACAAAAGCUCGUGACUCCAACCACUUCAUAGUAACAGUCAACGUGGAGGGCAACACUACAGCUGUCUUUGAAUUGCGAUACGAAGACUUCCUAGUCAGCCGCAACGGGCUGUACAGUCAUGUCAUCAACCUGCACCCUGGCGCUCUUGUGCCAACAAUGGAGGUUGUUGUGCACAUCAAAGAAUCACAAAAGAUCACUAAACUGCGCGUUCCCGAAGUCAGGACUGGGAAUGAAAUGGAUGCGACGCAAACUGAUUCGCAAAAUUCGAAGGUAGUCAUCCAGAACGGUAGCAACAAGCGAGAAGUGACCAUCACUUUUACUCCUGAUAUGUCAGAACAGAGAAGACUUGCUCAAAUAUACAUGGACAAGAGCAAAGAUGCUUCAAGUUUAGCUCUUGGACAAUUUGUGGUGGAGUAUGACGUAGAGCGAUCCAACAAUGGUGAAAUCUUGGUAAACGAUGGCUACUUUGUACACUUUUUGGCCCCGACGUCGCUGCCUCCACUGAGUAAGCACGUAGUGUUUGUGCUUGAUACCUCAGGAUCCAUGUUGGGCCGCAAAAUCGAGCAGUUGCGUAAAGCCAUGGACACCAUACUUUCGGACCUCAAGCCAACUGAUUAUUUCAACGUCGUUGAAUUCAGCCAUUUCGUUAAGGUUCACGAAUUGAAGGAAGCUGAUGAACCGGCACCAACUCACAGACCAGAUUGGUACUACAAUACCAUAAGCACGGAUAACUCCUAUACUCUUGUGCGUCCAGCACUCGCAUCGCCGGAUAAUAUUGCUAAGGCGAAAAUUAUAGUGUCUAGGCUCGAUUAUACCGGAGGUACCAACAUUUACAGUGCACUGGAUGCAGCAAUUGGAAUUAUCAAGAAGGGUGUUGAUAAGGAGAAUACCACUAAUAGUAAUGUUGCAUUGAAAACUGAGAAAAAAAAGAAAGCAGAGUUGGAACCCAUUAUAAUUUUUUUGACGGAUGGCGUUCCCUUGGAUGGUGAAACUAACACGGAUCGGAUAACCUCACUGAUUACGGAAAAAAACGCUGGUGAUAUGAGGGCGGCUCUGUACACAAUCGCUUUUGGUGAAGACGCGGACCGCGUUUUCCUGCGUAAGCUCUCGCUGCGAAAUGAGGGUUUCAUGCGUCAUAUCUACGAAGCAGCUGACGCAUCCCUGCAACUACACGACUUCUACCUUCAGGUGGCGUCACCGCUUCUUUCUCACGUGCAGUUCUUAUACCCUGCAAAACAGAUAAAAGAAGGAUCGGUGAGCCGUAAUAAGUUCCGCAGUGUUAACUCGGGUUCAGAGGUUGCAGUCGUAGGUCAGAUCGCGGAAGAUGCCAUUGAGAUUACGCCACAGAUAUUCGGUUUCUAUGGAAGUGAAGAUGGUCUGAGCUUGAAACGAUAUGAAGUAACUUCCAAAGUGACUUUCACUCAUACCAAGGACGAGCACUUGCCACUUGAGCGGCUGUGGGCGUACAUAACCAUCAAGCAGAUGUUAGACCAGCGCGACGCUGCUGACGACAGAUCUGAGAAACAGAACAGUCCUGAGAAAAAGGCUCUUGCUAUAGCACUCAAGUACGCAUUUGUAACACCCCUGACUUCACUCGUGGUAGUGAAGCCGAAUGAAACCAACGCUGUUGAUGUCGAUUCUACUGACGCUAUGUCAAUUAUUACCACGACCCCGGAGCCUACCAGCAAUGCUGCUCAGCCAAGUUAUGACUGGGAAGAAACCGACCUUGAAGAAUCAGAGAAUCAUAGCGGGUUAACUAGGACCAUCGGUGGUUUCGGGGGACAAGCAAAUUUGAUGUAUAACAUGGAAACCAGAAAUAGCGGUCGCAGCUCCCAUCACAAUAUGUAUACACAUAGCGGUCGCAGCUCCCAUCACAAUAUGUAUACACGUAAGUAAAAUCUUUCUUACCCUAAACGCGCCAUCCAUCAACUUCCAAACUACGCUUUGUACACGAUCGAUCGCAAUUUAUGCAAUGGGACGUGGUAUCACAAAAAAUACGUGCAAGUAGAAAUCUCGUCUACACUAAAUGUGUAGUUUAAGUUACUAAGUAUAGCAGGUACGAAAAUAGUCUAUUAGAUUACAUAAUGAUAGUUACAGGUCAUCAGGUAAUUUAAUAUUUCCACUUCUUUAUCAUCGUCAUCAUCAUAUUCGACUCGUUGCCGGCCCAUUACAGUACAGAGCACGGGUCUCUUCUCAGAAUUCACAUUUAUGAAAUUUUUUAAAUUUUCAGUUUCGCAGUUGUACAACCGGCAUUCCGUAUCUCAUGGCAUCUAUUACAGACCAAAGCUCUUCGUGCCCGCUUCUAUUACCACCACAAAGGCUCCAACAACAGCCUCAAAUGUAAACUACCACUUAGAAGCCUUUAAAUGGACAUCUUCGAUAUUCAACAGCAGCACUGGCGC